rnacentral:rRNA from 1 species
GCACAAGCAGCGGAGCGUGUGGUUUAAUUCGAUGCUACACGAAGACCUUACCAGGGUUUGACAUGCAAGUGGUAGGAAGCCGAAAGGUGACCGACCCUUCGGGGAGCUUGCACAGGUGCUGCAUGGCUGUCGUCAGCUCGUGUCGUGAGAUGUUCGGUUAAGUCCGCUAACGAGCGCAACCCUCGCUGUGUGUUAUAUGUGUCACACGGGACUGCCGGUCUUAAGCCGGAGGAAGGUGGGGAUGAUGUCAAGUCAGCAUGGCCUUUAUAUCCUGGGCUACACACACGCUACAAUGGCCAACACAAUAGGUUGCUAAGCCGCGAGGUGGCGCCAAUCCAUAAAGUUGGUCUCAGUUCAGAUUGUAGGCUGCAACCCGCCUGCAUGAAGAUGGAGUUGCUAGUAACCGCAGGUCAGCUAUACUGCGGUGAAUACGUUCCCGGGUCUU